AACGAACGCUGGCGGCAGGCCUAACACAUGCAAGUCGAGCGCGCCCUUCGGGGUGAGCGGCGGACGGGUUAGUAACGCGUGGGAACGUACCCUUUGGUAGGGAAUAGCCACUGGAAACGGUGAGUAAUACCCUAUGAGCCCUUCGGGGGGAAAGAUUUAUCGCCAAAGGAUCGGCCCGCGUUAGAUUAGGUAGUUGGUGGGGUAAUGGCCUACCAAGCCCUACGAUCUAUAGCUGGUUUUAGAGGAUGAUCAGCAACACUGGGACUGAGGCACGGCCCAGACUCCUACGGGAGGCAGCAGUGGGGAAUCUUGGACAAUGGGGGCAACCCUGAUCCAGCCAUGCCGCGUGAGUGAAGAAGGCCUUAGGGUCGUAAAGCUCUUUCGCCUGUGAAGAUAAUGACGGUAGCAGGUAAAGAAACCCCGGCUAACUCCGUGCCAGCCGCGGC
rnacentral:rRNA from 1 species